rnacentral:rRNA from 1 species
UGGGGAAUUUUGCGCAAUGGGCGAAAGCCUGACGCAGCAACGCCGCGUGGAGGAUGAAGGUCUUUGGAUUGUAAACUCCUGUCAGCGGGGAAAAAGCGACGCGACCUCAUACGUCGUGGAGUUGAUUGUACCCGCAGAGGAAGCCCCGGCUAACUCUGUGCCAGCAGCCGCGGUAAUACAGAGGGGGCAAGCGUUAUUCGGAAUUAUUGGGCGUAAAGGGCGCGUAGGCGGCCCUUCAAGUGACGGGUGAAAGCCCUCGGCUUAACCGAGGAACUGCCUGUCAGACUGGAGGGCUUGAGACCGGGAGAGGUGAGUGGAAUUCCCAGUGUAGCGGUGAAAUGCGUAGAUAUUGGGAGGAACACCAGUGGCGAAGGCGGCUCACUGGACCGGAACUGACGCUGAGGCGCGAAAGCGUGGGGAGCAAACAGGAUUAGAUACCCCCGUAGUCC